rnacentral:rRNA from 1 species
UGGGGAAUAUUGCGCAAGGGGGGAAAGCCUGACGCAGCCAUACCGCGUGUAUGAAGAAGGCCUUCGGGUUGUAAAGCUCUUUAAGUAUGGAGGGAAGAGUGAAUGGUUAAUAGCCCUAUCACCUUGACGUUAAAUACAGAAGAAGCACCGGCUAAUUCUGUGCCAGCAGCCGCGGUAAUACAGAGGGUGCAAAGCGUUAAUUCGGAAUUACUGGGCGUAAAGCGCGCGUAGGUGGUUAUUUAAGUCAGAUGUGAAAGCCCCGGGCUUAACCUGGGAACUGCAUCUGAUACUGGAUAACUAGAGUAGGUGAGAGGGGAGUAGAAUUCCAGGGUAGCGGUGAAAUGCGUAGAGAUCUGGAGGAAUACCGAUGGCGAAGGCAGCUCCCUGGCAUCAUACUGACACUGAGGUGCGAAAGCGUGGGUAGCAAACAGGAUUAGAUACCCUGGUAGUCCACGCCGUAAACGAUGUCUACCAGUCGUUGGGUCUUUUAAAGACUUAGUGACGCAGUUAACGCAAUAAGUAGACCGCCUGGGGAUNAANNCCGCAAGGUUA